rnacentral:tRNA from 1 species
GAGACAUUGGUGUAGCAGCAGCACAACAGGUUGUGGCCCUGUUAGCGAGGGUGCAAUUCCCUCAUGUCUCCCA